UACGGAAGGGGCAAGCGUUGUUCGGAAUCAUUGGGCGUAAAGGGCGCGUAGGUGGUUCUGUAUGUCUAUCGUGAAAGCAUACAGCUCAACUGUAUUUUGUCGGUAGAAACUGCAGGACUUGAGACCAGGAGAGGUGAGUGGAAUUCCCAGUGUAGCGGUGAAAUGCGUAGAUAUUGGGAGGAACACCAGUGGCGAAGGCGGCUCACUGGACCGGAACUGACGCUGAGGCGCGAAAGCGUGGGGAGCAAACAGG
rnacentral:rRNA from 1 species